AAAAAAGCAAAAGGAAUUACUCCUGUCUUGGUACGCUUAAAGCCAGUCUAAUCGUACAGUUCCCUUGUUUAAAACUUUUCAAAAUUGAGUAUGUGAAUUUCCUUUUGGGAUAAGAAUCCUGCAUUUACUUUUAUUCACACAUUAUUGACAUCAGUUAGCCCCCAAUCAAGUGUAUAAGUGAAUGUUUUCAAGGCUGAGAUCAAUCUUGCUAUUUUGCAUAGCACCUUCGCUUUUUUGAUUCAGUUGAAUUCAGCUAUAAAUAAACGCAUUCCUGAAAUACUUAGUAUUUCACAGAUACUGUAAUCUUCACAGAAAUAUCGUACGUGAAUAUAAACAACUAUAGCAGUAGGCAUUGGAAAGUGUACAAAGGAAGAGUACAAAGAUAGGACAUCAUAUGACCCCUUAAUACCCCAUAUGCAACCCACUGUGGCAUUAGCAGUUUCUGAAUCAGAAGCGGUGUCUUAUAUUUAACACAGUGCUCAGUGCAUUUUUAUUCCAUGAAUUUGCACAACCAUUUAUGUAUUCAUUUACUUUUAAGUCCACGUUGGCUUUUGGCAUCUGCUGUGUACUGCAGGAAGGAGGUCCUUACUCGGCACAACUUGACUGCGUUGUGUGAAAUGUUUUUCGUGGUUGCUAUCUGUCUUAAUUGAUAACAGUUCCUAUCAAGUCAUCUUUUUUCUUCAGUUCAUGAUUUUAUAUCUUUCUCCAGUCUUGUGAGCCUUGUGUUUUCCAAGCAGAGGAGUUUUAGUCUAUCUGGUAUUUUCACAUGGUACAGUUCAUCUCUUCAUUUGGUACUCUGUGAACACUACUAUAUGCUUCUGCUGAUGAGGAAACAAGGAGUUGCACACAGUACUCAAGACACAAGCAGAUGGAUUUAUGCUGAGCCAAAAUAAUGGUUUUCAUGUCAUUAUUGAGUUCUUUCUAAUUCCUGUAGUCUUGUUUGUUUUGUUAAGGAAGAAAGUGGAUUAUUGAGUGUUGUUCAACAAACAUUGAACGUUGUUUUCAUGGCAUUAACUAUAUAGAUCACAGGAUAUCUUUUCUGAGUAUUAACACCUAUAGCUGAUAGUUUUACAAAUCAAGGAUAGGAUUUUUUUGCCCCAGUGUACUUUAUGGUUAUUUACCUUAAAAUUGACCUGCAUAUGCAUUUAUGAGGCUGUAUGCAGAUUUGCUCAGCUAGGUUUAUUUUUUCUGCCCUCAGUAACUUAGCAUCAACAGCAUAUUCCACUACCUUACUAUUCAUUUGUCUUCAGAUCGUUUAUCAUGAAGUAAUUAGCUUUUAAUUCAGUGGUACAUUUGAGCAAAAACACCCUUAAGAAAUGUCUUCACAGCUCAUUCUAUAGGAGAAUGUUUUUUCUCUCGUAGCAUCCCUGUUGCCUAACAAUACUCGUCGUAGCAUGUUCAUUUGUAAAAGGAUAUGACUAUUAAUAGAUCCCUGUCCUGAGUAAUUUACAAUCUAAUCAUGAACAAUUUCAGUAUAAGGAAAAGUUGGACGCUGUCUUACUCAAGCCAUCAUUAGGAGCGUAUACUAAAGUUCUUCUUGUGACUGAAAAAUUUUAAGGGUAAAGAAGUACCUUUUUAUUUGCCCACUGGUAGGUCAAUAUUCCUUGAAUACAGAAAAUGUUGCAGUAAAAGACAAAGUAUUUAAGUUGUAGUGAAGACAUUAAUUUCAGUUAAUGUAAUUUCUUUUGUCAUUUUACAGUUUCACCAACAAAAGAAAAUAGUUGAGCAAUUCUGGUUUAUUCCUAAGGUACCGUAUGAUAUAAUGCCUGUAUCUGCCUAACAGUGGCUUUUGCUACUACUGAGCGUAUAUACAAACAAAUGUCUUUAGGUGCUGGUUCGUAAGUCUCUAAUGAAAAUUGGGCUAUGAUAUUUCAAAAUAGUUAUUGUUUCUGUUGUCUGUUCCCUAUUCCAAAACAUUGUAACUGGAAAGAACAGAGUAUAACCAUAACUGUUGUCAUGCAGAGCUGUAAUUUUGGCAUCUUCCUUGGCCUGUUUCUCUUCUCUGACCUGCGCAUCCAGAACCGUCUCUAAACCCUACCUCAUCCCAUGGAAUAUUUCUAAGUUUUAAUCAUUCCCUCCUGUCUGUGCUGUACUUUUUCUUUUGGCCAUGUCCUGGCUAUUGUGCCCUGUAAUGUUGGAAUGUGGAAAAUUCCUUCGCUGUUCAGAAUUGCUAUGGUUUUUACCUGCAAGUACCUUUAUCGUCUCCUUCUUCAGACACAUCAGAUGCAAACAUCUGAUCCUUCCUUCCUCCCUCAUCUAGUCCUGUGAUUCUGAUGAGUUUCUCACCUGUGGACAACUUUGUUAUCUGUUUAGUAACAUUGGAUACAGUUGCCCAGGUCUUCACUUCAGGAAACUAUUUUCUGCUUUCUCUUGUAUCAGCAUGAAAAGAUGAAUCUAAUCUUAAGAAAUUAUCUUUCAAGCUUGUCUUCAAGCCUUCCAUAGCGCAUUCAUCAAAGUAAUAAUAGUUACAUCUAACAGUAUAUAAUUGUACCUGACUGUAGACCUUGCACUUUGGGCAUGGGGAAAGGGUUUAUUUAACAUGGUGCCAAACUUGGAACCUUUCACAAGGUAGUAUCACAGCAAAUUAUGAGAGCCAUCAGCGCUUCUUAAAUUCUUGGUGUGUUUCUGUUACAAAAUUGCCUCUGUUAUUGGUGAUAACUUUCUUGAGGAUUGAACUUUAUCUCAGUCAAAGUAUACCUGUCAUAUUUAAGCUUCAUUUUGAAGAAUGUAUUUAGAUGUACCGAAUUAUUUAAACAAAGUAUGCUUUGAAAUUGGAAACAAACACCAAAAAUUAAAACCAGCUACAUGGCUUAAAUAGCUUGGCUUUCUAAUCGUAAUCUGGGUUCAUUUGCUUAGAAAUUCUUCUGUACAACUGAAGAAUGAGUGAAUUGAUGCCUUGUUCAAGGAACAAAUUGCUACUACCUGACUGCUGGUGUAGUGUGAGUGUGGUUAAAAAGAAGGUGGGAACAGAGAAUGUGCCUUGUGUUGGAGCUCUGAGCUAGUGAGCUGUUACAAUUACUGCUUUUCUUUUGUGUUUAUGAGGAAGUUGUCUGUAGGCUGCAGUAAUCAGAAGUGAAUUUGACUUUUGCAAAACAUUUUCCUAAAUUGUGUGUAACCAAAACAUUUGUAUGAAUUUCUGCUGUCUUGUAAAUGCAGUUGUAGAUGUCUUUGUGGAAAUGUUAGCUGUAUUUUGUUAUUUAUUUCUUUGAACAUUAGACUUUUGUUGGGAAGUUAGUUUGUAAAUUAAUGCAAAGACAGUUAAGGUGGUAUAAGCAGUAAUUGUAUCUAUCUCAACUUUGUUAUCAGUUUUAUAUUAGAUGCUUAAAUAAAGAAAUGGCAUUAUUACAACCACAAUCAUUUAGCAAAGAAAACAAACGAAAUACCAUACCUCCAGAAGACACAAGCAUACUCAUACACGUGCAGUUCCCUUAGGGAAAUCAAAAAGCUUAACCAAACUUGAAUCAAUGUUUGGAGAAACACCAGUGCUAUGUGUUACCCUUCUGAAGUUGUCCUGAGGCAAGCACUGUGGCUGCUCUGGGUGGUGAACUGUAGAAGCGUGUGCUCUAGCUGAGUGCUUGCAGCUGGAGGCUUAAGGAUGUAACUAGGUGCUGGAUGACUUCAAACACGUGUGUAAUGUGCUGUCUUUUAAACGCAGGAUACGAGUAUUUUAGAAGUUGAUGUUGCAUGUCUUCAGCACUAAAGGCCUAGAAACAUCUGCAGUGGUUCACAGGCAACCAGGUAUAAUGGAAAAAAAAAAUGAAUGAAAGAUACUCAUGUAGCUACUAAGUGGAGAAAAAGAUACAGGAAAAGAGUCUUCUGGAAGUGUAUUUACUAUGCAUGAUGUCAUUGUACUUGCAGUGAGGAGUCGGUGUAUUUGUCAUGUCUAAGGGUGAGAAGAGAGAUUCAGUUGCAUUCCACAUGAAGCAAAGCAGUCAAGUUCAAAGGACUGGACAGAAAAAACCAGACUCCUUUCUGCAGUUCUCUUAACACAUGGAUUAUUUUAUCCUGCUUUCGAGAUUGCCUGAUCGUUCUCAACCAGCUGUGAUGAUCAAACAAGCCUGCUGUGCCUAGGCAGCAUGAAAUGUGCAGAUGCUGGGUGUGUUACGGUUGGAGCCAAAAAAAAAAAACAACAACAAACACCAUAAAACUAUAGGAUCAUAUUACUCAGCAGCACAAUGGUUAAUGUAGAUUGAUCAUGAGUGGUAUCCCAAAGGUGGACUUGGUGGAAUGUCAUUUCCUCUAAUGAAUCAGCAGAAGGGAGGGCGUAAGUGCCCUUCCCUUUUAGUUCCUGUAUGUUAAUCUCUUCAGAGCCAGCCUGCCAUUGCUCAGAUGUCAGAUGCUGUUUAUAACUACACUGGGAAUGUAACAGAACAAAAGCGGAUCAUUAAUUUCUCUUGAGACUUUAUAUGCUCAUUUUAGGUUAGCUGUUUUUUCCCUGCUGCAGUUGAUUCAAAUAUUGUACCAGCAGUUUUGCAAGGUCGCUUGAAAAGUCAUCCUGUCAUGAAUUAGUCCGGCUGAUCUUUGAAUCUGCGACCAAAUUGUGUUCCAUUGCAAGCAUUUCCACAAUGCAGGCAUUCCAUCUCUCAGUAAGUAUCCUUGUCUUUUCUUGAACCUGCUGCUUUCAAUGGCACCCAAAUUCAGCAUCGGAGGAGAAGUGAGAAGCACGCAUUUUUCUGCCGUGUCAAUCAACCAUGCCUGCACUGCUCUCGUCUUUUGGCAAGUGGAUUUUUAUCUCCUCUGAAGCUGUCUAAAACUGUCAGAUCACUUCAUGCAGGCCACUGUACACCAUUAAAUAUAUCAGGAGUGACAUUUUCCCAAGUGCAGAGGUCAACGCAGCACUUAUCCAUUGCUUAAACCUUACUGACACCGUAAUUUAAGGCCUUCAUUCAAAUUUUCUUAACAACUUUAGAUGACUUGAAAACCAGGAACUUCAUUUCAGCAAUUGUUUGUUCGGUAAUAUGUCUAUUUGGGGAAAAAAAAUAUAUAAUUAAAUACUUUUUUGGUUUGUUAACUUUGUUAACUGAAAAAGAGCUAUUCGAUUUUGCCUUGUUGAUUACUUUCUCUCCUUUUUGUACUUUAAAACAGUAGCGCACCAAGAUACGAAUAGAAAUAAACUGCAAAAGCACUGGAAUUGCACCUGCUUGUAAAGGGCUGAGCCUAAUGGGGCCACAGGAGUACUCAGAAGGAAGCGAAUGACUUCCUUCCACUGUAAGCACUUCCUGGUUCCCAGAGAAUAUUCCCGUCUCUGAUAACCUCCUGCGGUGCUGCCUUGGGAACGUGGUAGCAGUUACGCUGUCCGAAGCACUCGGGGGAGCAGCUGAAACUCCAUCUGGUGCCUGCCUCGCUGCUUUGCCCAGCUCAUCAGGAAAGGAGGGAAAGAAGCUUCUGUGCAACACUUCUCACUGCCACAUUACUUGAGCCAGUUUGGUUUUGAGGCAUUUCUUACUAGCUGGACUUCAUAGCUUGAAGUUUUGGAUAUAUUUUUCUAUCCAUCCAUUAAAAAAAAGAUGCAGGAAAAUACCGAAGUUGCAAUUUAAUGUACCUAUGUCACAGUUGAUACAGCUUCUAAAAAUUCUUCAUUUGUAUAGAUUUCCUCUAAUUUUCUGGUGUGAAGUUUUAAAAAAUCCUGCCUCUUUAUUACCAGAAAUGUGGUUCCUAACAUUACUUCCUGUUCUUAUCAGUCCAUAUACAGAACAAUGGAGUCUUGGCAUAGUUUAGCAUUCUAUGAAAACUAAUAUACUUUUGCCAAAAGAGAGGAAAUAUCUAUUGUUCCGUUGCUGCAGGUGGAGUAAGCAGAUCUUUCGGGAGUCACUUAUUGCUGUAAGGAAGUUAUUACAGAACGGCGUUGUAGCAGAGACUACAGGAAUAUUUACUGAAUAUUUACUUGAAAGCUGGUCAGCUCACUUAAAACGUUUAUAUAUCCUAUUUCAGUGCACAUCAAACAGUGUUGGAGAAAGGAAGUUAUUUCAGAUCAAAUGUUUUUUUUUAUUAAUCACAAAGCUUAAGCAUAACAAGUCAGAUAAUUAAAAUCAGUCUGUGUAGAUUUCUAGACAACACUGUGGUCCUCUCCAAUGAAAGGUUUUGUACCAAUUCACCAGCGCUAAGAGCAAUGUUACCAGUGGUCCCCCAGUAACCAAAAGGUACACACGCACUACUGGUUUGAUUUGAGUGACUGGGAUUCCAGCAGCUGGGUACUUGUUG